GACGAGGGGUCCAAGCGUUGUUCGGAAUCAUUGGGCGUAAAGCGGGUGUAGGUGGCUUGUAAGUCAGGAGUGAAAUCCCCGAGCUUAACUUGGGAAGUGCUUUUGAAACUGCAGAGCUUGAAUGUGGGAGAGGAUCGUGGAAUUCCAGGUGUAGUGGUGAAAUACGUAGAUAUCUGGAGGAACACCGGUGGCGAAGGCGGCGAUCUGGCCCAACAUUGACACUGAGACCCGAAAGCGUGGGGAUCAAACAGG
rnacentral:rRNA from 1 species